ensembl:lncRNA
AUUACAGAAAAAUAUGAUUAUAUUUGAUAUUAAAAAAACAAACUGUGGCAAUGUAAACAGAUUCAGUGCUGUUUUACAGAAGCUCUCCAGGAAAGUCUUAAUGAAAUAGAAUAAGGGAUAACGAGAGCUUCGUGAUUUGCGCUGGCCACUAACCAAAACCAUGUGAUGUCACUUUAUUUCAGUCUACAGGCUGUUCAGACUGCACCACUGAAUUCAGGACUACGUCAUAAGAUAAAUCUGUGUGGGGGGUAAAAACGGUAACCUGGGAAUGUGUCGGCGGCGCGGCGCUCCCAGGGCUGAAAGCCAUGUUAGCUUAGCCACAGACCACGGUUAGGUGUAGGGAAACUGCACACUAGAAGCAACAACACGCUCAGUGACUCGGUGCUCGUGGUCGUGCGGUGGAUAGGAAUGUACAGUUUAAUAAUAUACGAAAUGGCUCGUACUGUUAACGCACUAAAGUUUCAGCUGACACUUUGCUCUCUGGAUGAAUACGGACUCUUGAAGGAAGGAGUGCAUCUUUUUUUUUUUUUUUUCUUUUUGCACUUUUAAUACGAUUUCUCACUUUCCUAUCGGCAUGUUGUUUUCUUUCUGAAUCAGUAAUAGAAGCGAGGAGCACGGUAACAACGUCUGAAUGUAAAAAUAGGGAAAACGAAGCGAGCUGAUAGGUGUCGUAACGCUGUGUGCCUGUUGCCUCUGUGGUGAUUGUAACAGAGUAAAACUAGGAUGGGACUAAAAAUAUUCAAAAGGAGGAAUACAACAUUGACAGUACUGAUCGACAUUUACUGAUCAGGAGUUUCCAGAAAAGGACUCCAGCUAUUACAGAAGCAACAGACUCCAGGAAAAAAGAAGAAAAACCGAAUGUGUUGAAAAUGUUGCAUCAUGUGUGUUUGAUACCAUUUUGUAUUAUUGAUAUGAAUCUUGUGUGUUUUAUAAGGAAUUAAAUAAUUUAUUACUGUCUGUUACCUCAGUGUGUCCCAGACCUGGACAAAGAAAAAAAGCUCCCCACUGUGUGUGUUUUUCAAAUUUCCUGGUGAGGCUCGUGCUAAACUAAGCAAACUACCUGCUGGUAUCUGUUUUUUGUCCAGAAACAUUUGAUUGCUGCCUUUCUCGGGUUGAUCAAAAUCCCUGAGGAAUCCUGAAAGGGCGAUUGUGAGUAAAUGAAGAGCUUCUGUUUAAAUUAUGUAACAGAUUUCAGUUUUAUACAUCCCGAAACUUUGUAAGUGAAUGAAGGUGGAAACUUUUACAUUUGGUUUGCAAAAAAGGAGUUUUCACAAGUUGUGUAACGUGUUUUUUGGCAGGUCUGUUGUGUUCUAACUGGCUGUGUCAGACUGAGGCGCUAGACGAGGCACAAUCUGUGGCCUUCUUCUCUAGCCUCAGGGGUCGAUUAUAUUUCAAUAAAAUAAAUAACAGGA